GAUGAACGCUGGCGGCGUGCCUAAUACAUGCAAGUCGAGCGAACAGACGAGGAGCUUGCUCCUCUGACGUUAGCGGCGGACGGGUGAGUAACACGUGGAUAACCUACCUAUAAGACUGGGAUAACUUCGGGAAACCGGAGCUAAUACCGGAUAAUAUAUUGAACCGCAUGGUUCAAUAGUGAAAGACGGUUUUGCUGUCACUUAUAGAUGGAUCCGCGCCGCAUUAGCUAGUUGGUAAGGUAACGGCUUACCAAGGCAACGAUGCGUAGCCGACCUGAGGGGGUGAUCGGCCACACUGGAACUGAGACACGGUCCAGACUCCUACGGGAGGCAGCAGUAGGGAAUCUUCCGCAAAGGGCGAAAGCCUGACGGAGCAACGCCGCGUGAGUGAUGAAGGUCCUCGGAUCGUAAAACUCUGUUAUUAGGGAAGAACAAAUGUGUAAGUAACUAUGCACGUCUUGACGGUACCUAACCAGAAAGCCACGGCUAACUACGUG
rnacentral:rRNA from 1 species